CUAGCGGCUGUUAACUGUGUUUACAAUCUCAGAGGGAGGAAUUGGGAUCUGCUCAACACGGCAAAUAUCGUGCUAAUCCCUAAACGGGACAAUGCUCAGGACCCCGGAGACUUUCGGCCUGUGAGCCUCAUGCACAGCGUUCCAAAGCUUGUAAGCAAAAUGCUCGCCGCUCGGCUGGCUCCAGAGAUACACAAUUUGGUCACGCAUAAUCAGAGCGCUUUUAUUCGAGGAAGGUCAAUCCAGGACAAUUUUCUUUAUGUCAAGAAUGUGAUAAAAGCGGCUCACUCGGCAAAAUCACCGCUCGUGUUCCUUAUUGGACGUGGCCAAGGCCUUCGACUCAGUCUCCUGGGCAUAUCUGUUGGAGGUGAUGGAGGCAAUGGGGUUUGGACAGAGAUGGAGAGACAUGAUUGCUUUGAUAUUGGCGUCGUCCUCUUCCAGAAUUCUGUUGAAUGGAACGCCCGGAUCGCCUUUUGUUCAUCUCCGUGGCCUGAGGCAGGGAGACCCGCUGUCCCCUCUGCUUUUCAUCAUUGCUAUGGAGCCACUGCAGAGGCUGCUUGUGAGGGCAACGGAGAGGAACAUUCUGAAGCCGCUAGGGACGCGGGUGGCAAGAUUCCGGGCCAGUUUCUAUGCGGAUGA
rnacentral:rRNA from 1 species